UCAAGCAAUUUCAUAUUGGCCUUGUUAUUUGUCCAAGGGUUGUCGUAUUGGCCCGAGGCCGUAGGCCGAGGGCCAAUACGACUGCCCGAGGACAAAUAACUAGGCCAAUAUGAAAUUGCUUGAUUAAUGAUAAUAUUAUUAUUCAACUUUCGACUGUUGGCGGUAACAGUACAAGAACUCACUAGUGAGCGAGUUACCUUAUGGCAGUUAUGCGCGUUCAGGUGAAAAAUCUUGACAAGUUGUUUAGACUUAUUUUAGAAAUCAUAAUCAUUUUAGCCGGUAAAACAGAAUGAGUUGUAUGUGGGAACUUGAGAAUAAUUUUGAGAGAUAUUUUUGAUGUGACAUAAUCAAGAGUAACUAGAACUUACCUUAGUUUUUGAAUUCCUAUUUAUUUUCUUUACAGUAGUGAGUUAUGUUAUCAUGUGAACUGUGACAAAACUGCUUUAAAUAUCAUUUCCUUUCAGGCUGCAGGCAACGAGACACAAAAUUGUACACAUAUGUGUUGAUCAAGAUAAUACAACCAACCAAGCACACAUUAUACACUCCCAUACCUCGUUUAAUUCUUAUCCGAAAUUGUUUGCAGUUCAGAACUGACACUCUUGUCCGCCAAUUUAUUCAUCCAUUUUCCAGCAUUUGAAUCGCUAUUUAUCAUUGCACAAAUAGUCCGCACUAUCAAAAUGUCUGUUAAAGAUAAGUCUCAUCCUUUUAAUUAAUCUGAGUUUCCUUGUUUUCUCAUUAUUUUCCUUGACAACUGCCAGAAUUUCUGAGGAGGCAGUAAACAGUUUUGAGCUGUUAGUGUCGAAUUGGCCGGGGUGAAAUUUACAAAUAAGAGGCAAUUUACGGAAUGAAGUGCAUAUUUGAACUUCUAAAUAAUAAUAAUUGCUAGAAUUGAAGUUUCAGCGGCUAGAAUUGAGUUUCACUUAUUUAAAAAAAAUCAGUUGAGUAGCCUUGAUCUUGAUAGUAUGACGUAAUGACUUGCAGGAGCGUAUACAUGCUUCCUCUGAGCUAGCUUAAAGUGGGGUUGUCAUUUUAGCAGGGACCUCAGGAAAACUGGAACAGUGAAGAAACGGUGUGUGGUUACAGACUUUUGUGUGAGGUUUUGAAAGUUAG